AAUCAACGCUGGCGGCGUGCCUCAGACAUGCAAGUCGAACGCGAAAGUUCCCUUCGGGGGGAUGAGUAGAGUGGCGCACGGGUGAGUAACACGUAGGUAAUCUACCUUCGGGUGGGGAAUAACCCAGGGAAACUUGGGCUAACACCGCAUAAUGCAGCGGCACCACAUGGUGACAGUUGUUAAAGCGGGGGAGUUUUAGGACCUCGCGCCUGAAGAGGAGCCUGCGGCAGAUUAGCAGUUGGUAAGGUAACGGCUUACCAAGGCGACGAUCUGUAUCCGGUCUAAGAGGGACGGUCGGACACACUGACACUGAAUAACGGGUCAGACUCCUACGGGAGGCAGCAGUCGGGGUAAUUUUGGGCAAUGGGCGAAAGCCUGACCCAGCAACGCCGCGUGAAGGAUGAAGUA
rnacentral:rRNA from 1 species